ensembl:lncRNA
GUCGUCCCUACUGCCUCUAAUCUGGAGGACUCACUAAACAGAGAACAUCCCUGGUCAUCCCUACUGCCUCUGACCUGGAGGACUCACUAAACAGAGAACAUCCCUGGUCAUCCCUACUGCCUCUGAUCUGGAGGACUCACUAAACAGAGAACAUCCCUGGUCAUCCCUACUGCCUCUGAUCUGGAGGACUCACUAAACACACACACAGUGCGUUUGUAAAUCUCUUCUGAGUGUUGGAGCCCCUGGCUAUCCGUAAAUUUAAAAAAAAACUUAAGAGAAAAUCAUACCGUCAGGAGUUUGAUUUAUAUUCUUUGCUUUAUCCCACCAGUUUCAUACUUUUUCCCACCAUUGUACUUAAAGUACAUUUUAAAAACAGAUACUUUGACUCAAGUACUAUUUUACUGGGUGAUUUUCACUUAUACUCAAGUCAUUUUCGAUUAAGGUGUCUUUCGUUUGACUCAAAUAGGACAUUUAAGUAGUUGUUUCUGCUAUAAACACACUUAUGUUUUCUGAUUUAAAAACAACAAUAAACAAAGAAAAUUCAUAUUAAUGUUAUAAUUGUUUUUGUAUAAUUGAUUACAUUGACAUUUUAUCCAUAAAGAUAUGCAAACAAUUUAACUAUUUAAAGGAGAUACUAUUUAAACUGUACAGAUUCAACAUUAUUAUUAUUAUUAUUAUUGUUAUUAUUAUUAUUAUUAUUAUGAUUAUUUGUGAAGACCCCUCUGUUUUGUGUCAGAACAAUCCUCAUGCUGUAGGUCUGUGCUGUGUCGUGAGUCACUGUUUCCAUCUGUAGGUUUUACCCCAUUGACAUCCAAUCAUUUGUUUAUGUGGUGUGUAUAGGUUCAUUGUAUAUAUACAUGCUGAAGGCUCUACGGUCAUCCCAGGCCCUAACCAAGGUAGAGAGGGGGUCUGAACCCAUGCUGAAGGUUCUACGGUCAUCACCAGGCCCUAACCAAGGCAGAGAGGGGGUCUGAACCCAUGCUGAAGGCUCUACAGUCAUCACCAGGUCCUAACCAAGGUAGAGAGGGGGUCUGAACCCAUGCUGAAGGCUCUACGGUCAUCACCAGGCCCUAACCAAGGUAGAGAGGGGGUCUGAACCCAUGCUGAAGGCUCUACGGUCAUCACCAGGCCCUAACCAAGGUAGAGAGGGGUCUGAACUCAUGCUGAAGGCUGUGCGGUCAUCACCAGGCCCUAACCAAGGUAGAGAGGGGGUCUGAACCCAUGUUGAAGGCUCUACGGUCAUCACCAGGCCCUAACCAAGGUAGAGAGGGGUCUGAACUCAUGCUGAAGGCUCUACGGUCAUCACCAGGCCCUAACCAAGGUAGAGAGGGGGUCUGAACCCAUGCUGAAGGCUCUACGGUCAUCACCAGGCCCUAACCAAGGUAGAGAGGGGGUCUGAACCCAUGCUGAAGGCUGUGCGGUCAUCACCAGGCCCUAACCAAGGUAGAGAGGGGGUCUGAACCCAUGUUGAAGGCUCUACGGUCAUCACCAGGCCCUAACCAAGGUAGAGAGGGGUCUGAACUCAUGCUGAAGGCUCUACGGUCAUCACCAGGCCCUAACCAAGGUAGAGAGGGGGUCUGAACCCAUGCUGAAGGCUGUACGGUCAUCACCAGGCCCUAACCAAGGUAGAGAGGGGGUCUGAACCCAUGCUGAAGGCUGUACGGUCACCACAACACCAAUACUAGUGUUUUAAUCCACAAUGGGGAGUUGUCACACAUUGUUUAAAUACAUUUUUUUUACAUUAACACCAUAUCAAGGAACUAACAGAUGGCUCGAUCAGGUUGAUUGAUAUACCAGUAGCCUCAUCGUGCCCCCCUCCCUUUGUUUAUUAAAGCUUUGCCAUUUAAACAAUUAUUGAUAUAAACGAGAACAUGAGGUGAAAGGAACGGCUUGAGGGGACAGGAAGAAGUGUUUGUCGUGUUUGUUGCGUCCACUCUUACAUUGUAUUUGUGUUGUCAACAACACUCACUUUCUUCUUUUUCGUUUUGUUGUUGCCAAGUGCCUUUGGCUACAAUCCAUGCCUGUAGCACAGUGUUGCCUGUAGCACAGUGUUGCCUGUAGCAGUGUUGCCUGUAUUGUGUCACUGUUGUCUGUUUCAACUUUCCAUCAAAGUAACAAUAACGCUCAUUAGUGUGGUGCAUGUGUGCCAAAUGGCACCCUAUUCCCUAUGUUGUGCACUACUUUUGGACUAGAUCUCUAAGGGUCCUGGUCAGAAGUAGUGGACGAUAGAGGGCAUAGGAUGCCAUUUGAGAUGUAGAACCUCUUGUGUCAUCACCGGUAGUGUCGUACAUGUCCACGCCUGUUAUUUAACCACUCUGAAAUAUCAUGAGUGAUACAGACAGAGGAGGCUGGUGAUGGGAGGACGGCUCGUAGUGAAACGGAAACUGCGUGUUGGAUGUGUUUGAAUCCCGAUCCAUUUCAUCCCGGUUCCAGACGUUACUAUGGGCCCAUCCUCUGAUUUAUAGUGACACCAGCCACCCCUGGAUACGUGAUCAACACAGAACCUUUGAAUAGCCAAUGAUAAGAUGAUAUAGUCAUUGAUAUAAUGUAAUCCAAUGAACAUGAUGCGGUCCUCUGCUGCUAGUUAAUUACACCCUCAUUUUUUGGCUGUACACGUUGUACGCCACAUCUUAUUGGCUGUACACGCUGUACGCCACAUCUUAUUGGCUGUACACAUUGGACCUUUGGCAGGAACAUGUUGUCAUGUUAAUUUGACUUCCUUCAAUAAAAGCUUUGCCACAGCC